GAUGAACGCUGGCGGCGUGCUUAACACAUGCAAGUCGAACGAUGAAGCCCAGCUUGCUGGGUGGAUUAGUGGCGAACGGGUGAGUAACACGUGAGUAACCUGCCCUUGACUCUGGGAUAAGCCCGGGAAACUGGGUCUAAUACCGGAUAGGAGCGCCUGUCGCAUGACGGGUGUUGGAAAGAUUUUUCGGUCAUGGAUGGACUCGCGGCCUAUCAGCUUGUUGGUGAGGUAAUGGCUCACCAAGGCGACGACGGGUAGCCGGCCUGAGAGGGUGACCGGCCACACUGGGACUGAGACACGGCCCAGACUCCUACGGGAGGCAGCAGUGGGGAAUAUUGCACAAUGGGCGGAAGCCCUGAUGCAAGCGAACGCCCGCGUGAAGGGAAU
rnacentral:rRNA from 1 species